GAUAAAUGAUCUGUUACAUUGUUCACCUAUUGCAUCAGAUUUUUAUAGUUGCAUCAGAUUUUCAUCUGUUACAUCAGAUGUAUUCAUCUGUCACAUCAGAUAUUUCAUUUGUUACAUUAGAUAUUUCAUCUGUUGCAACACCAUUUUCACCAAGACAAAUAACAAAUCAACCCAGCAACACCAACAUAUCUCACACACACACACAAAGAACAUCAAUUAUGACUAAAAAAUACCAACAAAUUUAAAUCAAUAGUACGACAAUAAGAAGAUAAAAUUCUAGAAAUUAGGGUUUUAUUCAGUCCACAUUUCAAUACUAGAAGAGUAGUUGGCUCAAGUUCCUCUGUUUCUUCAAAAAUUUUUACCUGUGAAAAAGGAAAUAGGACGACGAAGAACUCGAAGUUAUUGUCAUCGGAGAAGUCUUCACGUCAGAUGUUUCAUCUAUUACAUCAUAUUUUUCAUCUAUUGCAACACCAUUUUUAUCAAGACAAACAACAAAUCAACCCAGCAACACCAAUACAUCACACACACACAUACUAAGAAUAUCAACUGUGAAAAAAAAUCACCAAUAAAUUUGAAUUAAUAGUACGACAACAAGAAGAAGAAAUGCCAAAAAUUAGAGUUUUAUUCAGUCCAUAUUUCAAUACUAGAAGAGUAGUUGGCUCAAGUUCCUCUGUUUCUUCAUAAUUUUUUACCUGUGAAAAAAGAAAUGGGAUAAUGAAGAACUCAAAGUUGUUGUCACCGGAGAAGUCUUCACGUAGAUUGAUGGUUGAAAGUCGAAUGAAACUCACCCGACUAUUUGUUGCUGAAGGUUGAAGGGAGAAAUUUUGUAGGACUGUUAGUUGGGAGAGAGUUGAGAGAAGUUGUCAAGAGAGAGAGUGGUUGAUUUGGAUAGAAGAGGGGGUGUGGGUUGGGUUGAUUUGUAUUUUUGAAAAGAUUAGAAAGUUUUAAAAAUAUUAAUCAAGUCCAUAAUUAACUUAAUCAAGUUUCGUAAUGAUGUUUGACCCUUUAAGUUGGUCAAUAUCACCAAUCCUUCAUUUAAGACUUAAAAGACAUCUUUCCUUCAAUUUUCUCCAAUUACAUUCUUCACCACUUCUCUCCUUCAAUUUUUUUCAUAUAACACCACCAAAAAAAUCCACUAAGACACUAAAUUAAAAAUUUUCCUCCAUUAAACACCCAUUUAUUAAAGAAACACGAAUUGGAAUCACCCAUUUUCCUUCAUUAAACACCCAUUUUUCCUCAAUUGUUAAUAUUAGCAAGAAAAAUAAAACAAAAGAAAGUUCUUAGAUCCAUUUUUUAAAGAAAUGAGAAACAAAAAAUGGAAUAGUUUUAGUUUCAAAAAUGGGAUAAUUUGAAUGAAAAUUAUUCAGUGGAAACUACUCAGAGGAAAAUAUUAACAAGAAAGUUCUAGGAAAAUUUUCCUCCAUUAAACACCCAUUCAAAUUUCUUAGAUCCAUUUGUUAAAGAAACACCCAACAUAAUCUUUUCCUCACCUCACACAGAUUCAUUUGUUAAACAAAAAAAUCUUUACAACUUUCACAUGAAACUAUCCCAAAGAAUAAUUAAUUAAAAAUGAAAACACGAAUGCUGAAGCACUUAUUGUUUGAACAAAUUGAUAAUUAAUUAAAUUUUUCAACUGGGUUGAGUAUUCCAGAGAAAAUUCGUCGAAAAAUCUGACAGGUGUGGCUGUGUUAGGGUUGAUGGAGGAGGAUGGUGUGUGUGUAGGUGGGCCAGUGUGGGGAUGGAUGGGGUGUGUGUGCAGGUGUGGGGGUGGAUGGGAGAGAAGUAGGGGAGAGGAAGGAGUGGGGUUUAUGAAGAAGAUGAAAAAUGGAGGGUAGAUUUUUUUUUUAAUUUAAAAUAUUUUAUAUAUAUUUAAAAAUAUGUAUAUAUAUAUAUAAAUAUUUAUAUGUAUAUUUAUAUAUAUUUUAUAUAUAUAUAUAUAUAUUUAAUUAUUAAAAAUACUUUAUGUAUGUGGCUCUGACGUGGCGGUGAUGUGUCAGGGAGUGUGAUACACUCUCCAUUAUGAGAGUGGUAUUAUAUAUUAAGGGGUGAAAGUAAUUCACUUUAAAUAUGUUAAGGGGGGGAAAUAAACAUAAGUUAAGUUUAAGUGAUAAAGUGAGUUGGGAGGACAAGUUCAGGAGGAAAAAGAUGCCUUUUCUCUUUAUUUAUUUAUUUAUUUAUUUAGCAUGUGCAUGCAUGGGUCUUAAAUUCUAUUUUGUUAACAUAACUACAUUAGUCAUAUAAAUGUUACAUCUUGGGCUGCCCCAACCUACCUAGAGGUCAAGGGUUCGACCCUGGGUAUGGACAAACACUUUGUUGGGAGCUCUCGCCCCCAAAUGGGGCCCGACGCAGAGCAAAUUCGGAUAUAGUCAGACUCUUAAAAAAGCGGGUACCGGACAUUGGGUGGUUUAAACCAAAAAUAAAAUUUUAAAAAAAUUAUUUAAAAUUCAAAACUAAUCUAAUUAACUUUAUUUCGUAAAUAACAAAUGAAUUACAAAUAAAGACAUAAAGCAUAAACUAUAUAAAAAUAAUAAACUAAACAUACUAAAUAAUAUAAAACAACCCUUGAAAUAACCUCAUUCAUAAUUCAAUUCAUAAUGAAACUUAUAAAAAUAAGUAGUACAGAUUUGACAAGAACCUGUUUGAUAAAUUAAAUCGAAUAAGAAGUACCUCCACCAAAAACUCAUACGGAGACCCGACUUCUACUUGACACUCUUUUCCCUAGUUCUUUUUUUUUUCUCUUGAAUUCCUAGCUUUUUCUCUUCUUUUACUUUCUCUCUUUUAAGUUUUCUUUUGGUUUUUGUUUUUGUUUCCUCUAAUGUUUCUCUGCAUGUUUUUUUCUCUAACUUUUCUUCUUUGAUUUUCUCUCCUUACUUUUCUCACUAUUUUUUUUUGUUUAUUCUCCUAUUGUUGUCUCCCCUUUUCCUUCCCUAAUUUUCUAAGUGUUUGGUUUAUGUGUGUCAUGAGUUGUUUGUGUAUGCUAAUGUUUUUUGCUUUUU
rnacentral:lncRNA from 1 species